UGCAUGUGUCGCACUGACAGAAUCUCCAGCCACCAUGACUGCUCUGGUGCUGCUCUCUGUCUUCGUAGUCUUCAUUCAGGAUUCAAGCUGUCAGAUUUCUGUGACUCAACCAUCAGCACCAAAGUCAGUGUCCCCAGGAGGGAGCGUCACCUUCACUUGUACUACUGGGAGUAGUGUGGGUGCUGCCAUGGCCUGGUACCAGCAGAGACCUGGAGAAGCUCCUGAACUUCUGAUCUAUAGUGUGAGCUUUCUCUACGGUGACACCCCGAGUCGCUUCACUGGCAGCGGGUUAGGAACUUCAUUCAGUUUGAGUAUCAGUGGAGUCCAACUUGAAGACGCCGGUCACUACUACUGUCAGCAGGGCAUCAGUUUACCACACAGUGAUUGAGACUCGUACAAAAACCUCACUAUGCUAUUUUCAUGUUUGCAGGUGUGAAACUGAAACACUGAGAUGAGACUUAAUGCAGAAACCAGUGAACUGAAACAACUAAAUGUAAUACGACAGCAAAACCAA